rnacentral:rRNA from 1 species
GACGAACGCUGGCGGCGUGCUUAACACAUGCAAGUCGAACGGAAAGGCCCUGCUUUUGUGGGGUGCUCGAGUGGCGAACGGGUGAGUAACACGUGAGUAACCUGCCCUUGACUUUGGGAUAACUUCAGGAAACUGGGGCUAAUACCGGAUAGGAGCUCCUGCUGCAUGGUGGGGGUUGGAAAGUUUCGGCGGUUGGGGAUGGACUCGCGGCUUAUCAGCUUGUUGGUGGGGUAGUGGCUUACCAAGGCUUUGACGGGUAGCCGGCCUGAGAGGGUGACCGGCCACAUUGGGACUGAGAUACGGCCCAGACUCCUACGGGAGGCAGCAGUGGGGAAUAUUGCACAAUGGGCGGAAGCCUGAUGCAGCAACGCAGCGUGAGGGAUGACGGACUUCGGGUUGUAAACCGCUUUCGCCUGUGACGAAGCGUGAGUGACGGUAAUGGGUAAAGAAGCACCGGCUAACUACGUG